CCUGGGCCCGCCAGCAAAUCAAAAAGCGUGGCAGUCCCUGGGGGGGGGGGGGGGGGGGGGGGGGGGUCGCCGCCUGAACCAUUUGGAUUCCCUCACCUGGAAUUCGAAAAACGGCGACUACUCCCCUAGAGCAGAUCCAUCUAGACUCUAGAGUACAUCCGAGGGGGAAGCGAGCAGAUCGAUGGCGAUGGCUGAGAAGGUGAAGGAGAAGAUGCUGAUGCUCCGCAGCAGCGACAACCAGGAGUUCGAGGUGAAGGAGUCGGUGGCGAUGCAAUCGAUGACCCUCAAGAAAAUGGUCGAGGACGGCUGCGCCGACAAAGGCAUCCCGCUCCCCAACGUCACCUCCCACAUCCUCGUCAAGGUCAUCGAGUAUUGCAACAAGCACGCCGAGCCGACCGGGCCGGGCGACGCGGCCGGCACCACCAACAGGUCCGCCGAGGAUGAGCUCAACAUCUUCGACGCAGACUUCGUCAAUGUAGAGCACUCCACCCUCUUGGACCUCAUCCUGGCUGCAAACUACCUGGACAUCAAGGGGCUCCUGAACCUGGCCCGCCAAACCAUUACAGACUUGAUCAAUGGGAAGAUGCCUGAGGAGGUCUGCAAGACCAACAUCAAGAACGACUUGACCAUCCCUUCCACGUCGGCCUUGGCCACCACAAUGCCCUCCUCCGAGCGAAAGCAGAUGGAGGCCAGGUUUAUCGCCUAUAUGCAAGAAACUGCUGAGGAGAGGAUGACUGGGUUUGCUGUUCGUGGUGAAAAAUACAGAAAGCAUGGUGAACGUCCGCCACAACCACCAUUGGAGAUAGUUAAAUACCCAGGUCUAUCUACCUGUGCUUAUCCUCUCUUGGAAUUGAAAGUGGAAUUGGAGUUAAUUGUUAGCUAUGCUUUCCACCUGUGAUUUGCGAUCUAAUUUAUUUUACCUCUGUAGUUCUGUUUGUUGCUCUAUCCCUUCCCGUUCUCUUUCCUUUAGCUUUUAUUUCUUUGUUACUAUAUUAAAUGAUAAUUACAGAAAGCAUGGUGAACGUCCGCCACAACCACCAUUGGAGAUAGUUAAAUACCCAGCUCUUUUGGAAAGAGCUUGGGGAUGGGAUUCGAUACUGCCGUACUGUCCUGUGAAUUCUUGGCCCCUAUACAAGACUUACCUCCAAGAAUAUUAUGAGCGCAAUUCUCGUGAAGUAUUGGCUCAUCAAGUGGAAGCUAAUGCUGCCUCUGGUCCCAAUCUCAACGGGGCUGAUGAGAAUGAUCUGGCAACUCUGUUCAACUUGUGUAUCAGUAGGGAGGUUCAACUUUUGAAUCUGCUGAAGCGCCGUGAUCAAAAACACAAUGUUGAUGAGAUCAGCCUGAAUGAAAAGCUCACCAACUGUGCCCGUCAGAUAACUUUUGUGGAAUAUGCUGGUUUUCCUUUCCCCAGUGUUGCCUUAAAGUGCAUCAUGGCGGAGUCUGAUCUGUUGUGCAUGUUGCUGAUGUGUGGGACUGGAAUGAUAUCCCAAGUCAACAUUUGCUCCAGGAUUCGAAAGGUGGCCUUCAGAUUUAUGACCUACAAAGGACCUGGAUGUUUUGCUGCUGCUGCCACCAUGAUGGCCACCACAAAGGAGGCCAAGUUGAUGAGUGGACUGCUGAGGAACAGAUGUAGGGAAAAUAAUGGUCCAUUUUCAAGGAGUGUCUUUAUCAGGAAAUGGACCAUUGCAGCUAUGUUCAGAAUAUGUGAGGAAUGUUCUCCUGUGGAAGAGUCUACAGGGGGCUACACUGCUACUAAAUUGAUACUUGAUGGAUCUGAUGACAAGAAUCCUUGUGAUAAGGAACUAGUUAAUAAGGACAACCUGCUGCAGAGGAACAAGAUAAAUCAAAAAUACCAAGGACUGUUCAAAGGAAAAACAACUAAAUGCCGACACCCUGUACAAAAGCAAGAACCAGGAGAUGGAGCAACGCCCGCAUCACCCAGUCCGGCCAAUCCCAUCUCAACUGUGGUGCAAAAACUUUGGUAAGAAGGAAUACUGAAGGACCUUCCAAACUAGCAUGAAGUGCGGGCACCUUGCUUUUCUUUUGCCUUCUUUUUGUGAAAACGUGUGCUUAGCGACAAUGCUGGCUAAGUGUUAGAAGCAUCUCUGGAAUGCUUCGUGUAGUAUCUUUUGACUCUCUUUUCUUUUGUCGUCUCAAUCAUGUUACAUGAGAAAUGCCUGAUGGACUCAAAUAAUGAACCGGUGAUUCAAAAACCAAAAGCCUCUGAUGAAUCUAUUUGAGGGUUUGGAUCUUGAUCA